CUCUUCCGGCCGGAGUCAGUGGCGGGGUUCUCGCCGGUCCUGCGGGUCGCUGCUUGGCUGUGGGUUAGCAGCACCCUGAGCGGAGCGGAAGAGCUGCCCGCCGCCGCGUAACCCCGAGGCCGAGACUCCUGGCCUGGCCUCCUUGGGCCCACGACGCCUGCCCCGCGGAGCGGACCCAUGGGCCUGAGGUUUGUGUGCGGGGCCUCAGGCGAGCGCUGGCGCAGCCUGUCCCCCAUCGUCUGCGCCCUGCGGGCCUGGCCCUCCCCGUGGAAGGACCGCGGGCUUCGGGGCCCCACGCUGGGGGGCUGACUCCUGCCACACACACAGCGGUGGCCGCGGGCCUGGGGCGGCAGCACAGCCAUUCUGCUCGGGCUGCGUGAGCUGACCCCGCUCUCUGUGCACCUACUUUUGCUGCGUUUGGUGCUGAGCCUGAAGUCCCAGGACAGGCGGCUGAGGGGGAAAGAUGGUGUGAAUUGGGUGGGCAGAGACAACUGAAAGCCACAGGACCCGGUUGGCACCUUUUUGGCCGCCUGCGCCUUUGCCUGCAGCCCCGCUCCCUGGGUCACCCGAAGGAGGAGCUGGCGCUCUUUCCGGGCGCAGAAGCACCCGACCCACGCUGGAGGAAACGGUCCCUCUGGGCAGGAGAAGCUUUGGGCCUGGCUGGAGCACACUCACGGAACCACGCCAACGCCUGGCCUGUAGCCAGCUCCCACCUCCCCUCCCACCUUCUAAAAUGCUUGCGGAUCUCACGUGGCCGACCCUAACCAGAUACACAUGGGGAAAGGAAUCAGGUGGCACACAUACCGCCUUUACUCCAUAGAGAACUUCCAAUUGUGGGUCGGCACAGACGCAACCCAGUCUCCUCCCACCUCCGAGAGUGCAGUGUCCUGAAUGGAGAACCCCAGCACCCAGAAGCAUCCACUGAAGGACUAAAUUCUACACAUGAAGGCAAACGUCCGUGGUUGACAGAAAUUACACUGGCCAGAAUCCCCAGUCCCCAUGAGGCUUGUCCAGACGCAGUGAACCAGUCGCAGCUGAUAACACACAGACCAUUCCCGAUCCCAGAGGUGCAUUUCAGGAUUCAUUCUAUUUCAUCAGAGACGGGGUCUUCCUGUGUUGCCCAGGCUGGUCUCGAACUCCUGGGCUGAAGCAAUCUUCCUGCCUUGGCCUCCCAGAGGGUUGGAAUUGCAGAUGUGAGGUACUUCUUUGAUAGUGCCUCCAUGCAUGCAGAAGAUGACGUGGAGAGCUCCGCGCGGCACAGGGCAGGAAGCUGGUGUGCACUCUCAUGGAUCCGAAGCCAACACACGCCUCUCAACUGAGGACUCUGCCCCUCUGGCAUUCUUCCAGCCACCAGCCCUGGGGGCCAGGAGCCACUGAGUGGGUCACACAGCCUUAGAGGGCAACGAGGGCAGGAGCUCGCCCUGGCGGUCCCCAUGCAGACAAGAGGUACACACUCCCUGGCAUGCAAAGCCACCCAACUGGGUUUCACUGAAGGGUGAGGGGCGGGGUGUCUACCGUGCUUUCCAAAUACCGCUCAGUCACCCAGAGCUUGAAACUUACAAUGAGCCACCCCAUCCCAGCCACAAAUCUAAAGGGGUUCACUUGUUUCAAAAUCAACUUGUUUGUGGUUAAAAGUCAGUCCCAGCUCUACAGUGGCUGGAGCGGCACGUGUGAGAAGCCGGCUUGCGCUGUGAGGCUCACAAGCCCUGGGUGACCACCUGCCCACUUGGCAUGCUGACACCAUCAUUCCACCUACCUUAGUAACUCUGGAAUGUAUUUUUAUGACUCUAAAUGGGAGAAAAAUUGUUCUGCUUAACCCCACAUCCCAGAUGACACACCAUUUUUACUUACACAACCAACUUAUCAAUGACUGUGAGGUCUGGUGGGUCAUCUGUAGCCAAAUCGCCAACGUAUUCCAAAAGAAAGCCAAACAGUUUCUGCAGGAACAUGAAUUGGGAAAUAAAGCUCAGUGCUCAGCACCAAGAACAAAGCCACAGGC
ensembl:lncRNA NOP14-AS1 NOP14 antisense RNA 1